GAUGAACGCUGGCGGCGUGCCUAAUACAUGCAAGUCGAACGGAGGAUUAGCAAUAAUUCUUAGUGGCGAACGGGUGAGUAACGCGUUGGUGACCUGCCCCGAAGAGAGGGAUAACAGUUCGAAAGGACUGCUAAUACCCCAUGAGGUCUGCUUGGUUAGAGGAGAGCAGACGAAAGGAGAAAUCCGCUUUGGGAGGGGCCUGCGUCCCAUCAGCUAGUUGGUAGGGUAAAAGCCUACCAAGGCGAAGACGGGUAGGGGACCUGAGAGGGUGACCCCCCACACUGGAACUGAAACACGGGCCAGACACCUACGGGUGGCAGCAGUAGGGAAUAGUGCACAAUGGGCGAAAGCCUGAUGCAGCAACGCCGCGUGAGCGAAGAAGGCCUUCGGGUCGUAAAGCUCUUUUCGGGGAGAUGAGGAAGGACAGUAUCCCCGGAAUAAGACUCGGCUAACUACGUGCCAGCCGCCGCGGUAAGAC
rnacentral:rRNA from 1 species